GAGAGAGAGAGAGAGACAGAGAGGGAGUAAAGCUGGUGAUGGGUUGAGUGUGAGAGAGAGAGAGAGAGGGUGUGUGUGUUUAUAGAGGAGGGAAAGAGUGAGAAAGUCCGCUGAAGGGGGCGAUGAAAGCAAAGUUUCGUGCAAGAAAGAUGGCUUCUUCCGGGGGUGGUUGGGAGAGACGUUGAGAGAGACUCCAAAGUUCGGAGAGCAAGAGGCGUUU